rnacentral:rRNA from 1 species
GAUGAACGCUGGCGGCGUGCCUAAUACAUGCAAGUCGAGCGAACGGACGAGAAGCUUGCUUUUCUGAUGUUAGCGGCGGACGGGUGAGUAACACGUGGAUAACCUACCUAUAAGACUGGGAUAACUUCGGGAAACCGGAGCUAAUACCGGAUAAUAUUUUGAACCGCAUGGUUCAAAAGUGAAAGACGGUCUUGCUGUCACUUAUAGAUGGAUCCGCGCUGCAUUAGCUAGUUGGUAAGGUAACGGCUUACCAAGGCAACGAUGCAUAGCCGACCUGAGAGGGUGAUCGGCCACCCUGGAACUGAGACACGGUCCAGACUCCUACGGGAGGCAGCAGUAGGGAAUCUUACGCAAUGGACGAAAGCCUGACGGAGCAACGCCGCGUGAGUGAUGAAGGUCUUCGGAUCGUAAAACUCUGUUAUUAGGGAAGAAGAUAUGUGUAAGUACCUGUGCACAUCUUGACGGUACCUAAUCAGAAAGCCACGGCUAACUACGUG